rnacentral:rRNA from 1 species
UACGUAGGGUGCAAGCGUUGUCCGGAAUUAUUGGGCGUAAAGAGCUCGUAGGCGGUUUGUCGCGUCUGCUGUGAAAACUCGGGGCUUAACUCCGGGCCUGCAGUGGGUACGGGCAGACUAGAGUGCGGUAGGGGAGACUGGAAUUCCUGGUGUAGCGGUGAAAUGCGCAGAUAUCGUAAGGAAGACCAGUGGCGAAGGCGGGUCUCUGGACAGUUCCUGACGCUGAGGCACGAAGGCCAGGGGAGCAAACGGG